AACGAACGCUGGCGGCAUGCCUAACACAUGCAAGUCGAACGAAGGCUUCGGCCUGAGUGGCGCACGGGUGCGUAACGCGUGGGACUCUGCCCUUGGGUUCGGAAUAACAGUGAGAAAUUACUUCUAAUACCGGAUGAUGUUGAAAGACCAAAGAUUUAUCGCCAAGGGAUGAGCCCGCGUUGGAUUAGCUAGUUGGUGGGGUAAAGGCCCACCAAGGCGACGAUCCAUAGCUGGUCUGAGAGGAUGAUUAGCCACACUGGGGCUGAGACACGGCCCAGACUCCUACGGGAGGCAGCAGUGGGGAAUAUUGGACAAUGGGCGAAAGCCUGAUCCGGCAAUGCCGCGUGAGUGAUGAAGGCCUUAGGGUUGUAAAGCUCUUUUACCCGGGAUGAUAAUGACAGUACCGGGAGAAUAAGCCCCGGCUAACUCCGUGCCAGCAGCCGCCGUAAAAC
rnacentral:rRNA from 1 species